UAUUGAAUAAUAACAUGCACGAAAAACCUCAUUUUCAGCAUUUUGAUGAUCACGAACCCUGCCAGCCUCAUAAAGCUAGCUUUCGUUAUCUCAGUUCCACAUUUUGACCCCGUAGAUUUUUGCACUGCACAGUGACUUGGGUUAAUCUCACCUCAUUAACAACACGGGACUAAGUUAGUCCUAAGAAACAGUAUCAUGUGCUAUGUAUGUAGUUCUUACAUAACAGAAACGGGCUCAGGGUGACGACGUGAAAAUAUCAUCAUAGUCAAUUCUACUGGUAACAGCGUCCAGCCAUCGCCUCUGCUUCCGGUCAGACGACAGCGUUUAUCUUCCGGGUAUCACAUGGUCAAUUGACAGUAGAGGCGUUCUGAUGGCAUAUUACUUCUUUUAAUGAAUAUAUCUACUUUACUAGCCAUUGCUCGAUCCUUGAUCCUUGAUUAGCUGCAACUUGCAAUAGUUCCGCUCUACCAGUUUGGCAAAGGGAUAUACAGUGAAGCAGCGAUGUCUUUACGACAAUGGUGGGACGAGCACAAACACGAGCCUCGUCUGAUCGUCUCCGUGGAACCUGCCAUCUUCUUCUUCAUGCUGUCGUUGUUCAUCACCCUGCCCAGUGUCCAGGCACUCUUCAUACAGAAAGUGUGUCUCAGAGAGUUUCACUCCGAGAUGGUCUGCCAUAACCUGACCAACAACCCAGAGAAGAUGGACUACGUCCAGAGCAAGGUGUCCAGGUGGGUAUUGCUGAACACCUGUUCUGAGACGUUCCCAUCUAUGAUUACGGCUGUCUUCAUGGGGUCUUGGGGCGACAACGUCAACCGGAAGAUACCGAUCGUCGUACCAGCCGUGGGAGGUCUGCUGAUGAUGGUAAACCUGGUCUUGAACUCGUUCUACAUGAACUGGCACCCGGCCUUUAUUCUGAUCAGUAACUUCGUGUACGGAGUUCUAGGGGGCUUCGCCUCGUUCUUAAUGGCGGUGUUCAGCUAUGUGUCUGUGAUCUCAGGUGGUGAAAAGGAACGCUUAAUACGCAUCAGUAUUUGUGAGGGGUUGAUGCAGCUGAGCGGCGCUGUGGGGUUUGCUCUCUCUGGACUCCUUGUCAAAUACACGGGGUUUACCUACACCUUUGUCUUCACAAUGGCCUCGAUGGGCGUGGCACUUUUGUAUUCUGUUCUAUGGAUAAAGAACCCACCGCCAGUAGGUGGCAGAGGUGUAGGUACAGAAGAACCCAGGUCUUUGUGUGCCAGGCUGUUUGACUGCAAACAUUUCGUCGCCGCCGUGAAAUGUUACUUCGUGAGGCGGGAAGGGUACAAACGACUGAUCCUCUGGCUGUCCCUGGUUGCCUUCAUGAUAGGAAUGAUCACCAUAGGCGGUGGAGCGGACGUCUGUCUUCUGUACCUAAACUACACAAUCCCUGGCUGGAACCUGGUUCUGUACGGUAUCUACAAUGCUCUCAGGAUGAUUCUGAUGACGAUCUUCCUACUCUUCAUUCUGCCAGUGAUUAAAAGGUUCUUUUCCAUUCAAGACACAACAGUGGGUAUAAUAGGACUUGUCAGUAACACAGCUGGGCAACUGUUACUGGCUUUCUGCAAAACUAUAUGGAUGGUUAUGUUGGUCCCUGUUGUUAACAUGCUGGCAGGCGCAGGGUCCACUGCUUUAAGAGCCAUCAUUGCUAAAAUGGUCAGCGUGAAUGAACAAGUAUAAUCCGUGUUUACAUCCCAAAGGAAGGAAUACAGAUGUCCCAAUAUGCUUCACAGGAAAAAUCCCCACUCCUAGUGAAU
rnacentral:misc_RNA from 1 species